rnacentral:lncRNA from 1 species
CUACUGGCAUGGAUCGGUGCACAAACACAAAGGCAGGGGAAUAUUCAAAACAUUCACAGCAAAACACCAACUCCUCUUUCUCACACACACACACACACACACACGCUGAGCUGGAGGAGUGGCCAAUGUAAUCUCUCUCAUGAGCUGCGAUCAAAUGACAGGUUCGCAACAUUUUAGAAGACACAUACAUUUACAAAACAUAACAUACAAAACAUUGCAAUAUUGCAUGUUCUUGUGUAAUAUAGUGAGUGGGUGUGCCAAGUGUGUUUAGCCUAUACGUGUUGCGAACAGACUAGAGUUGAUGAAGCAACUAAACUAUUGAAAAGCUACCGUUAUAAAAUGCAAGCAAUUAAUUUAGACUGCUACAGCCUUUCUCUGCUGACGGCGAAAGAGGACGUUCUGAACCCACGUUCAUAAUUGAGGCUGCCCUAAGGAAUGCAUUCCAGGGACACAGACAGAAAAGGUCCCCAUUGUAUUAAGCUUGAUCUGGAUUACAGGGCAUUGUUUGCAUCUGAUGGCAUCACAAACAACCUCAAGCUGUCGGAUUCUGGGGCAGGUGAUGUGUCUGACCUGGCAGGAAGGUUCCAUCCCAGACGUCCCCUCUGCAGGCUCUGAAGGGUGGGGGACGAGGUGGAUGAGUUUCGACAGGGGGAGUGUGCCAGCCAUGUUCCUGCCAUCAGGGCUUUCUUCAAGGUAAAACACAGCACAUUAGAGACCCACAACAACACAGUAAAAACUGAGACUGGAGUAGUUCAAUAUAGCUCCAUUGGCAGUUACUGUAAUAAGCUUAUGUAAAUGAAAGGGAUCAGUAGCCCAGUUGAUAUUUACAUUUUAUUACCAUAGGAAACAUGACUCAAUUGACGAUAAGAGAAUCUGACGAUAAGAGAAUCUUGACAGACUUUUUUCUGUACAACCUUUUGAUAUGUUGAUGUCUUCAUAAUCAUAUUUAUUUAACAUUUAAGUCAGAAAUGUAAUCUCUUACUUUGUCUCUCUCACUCUCUCAAAUCAAAUCAAAUGUUAUUGGUCACAUGCACAUGGUUAGCAGAUGUUAAUGCGAGUGUAGUGAAAUGCUUGUGCUUCUAGUUCCGACUAUGCAGUAAUAUCUAACAAGUAAUCAAAUAAAUUCACAACAACUACCUUAUACACACAAAUAUACACAAAUGUAAAGGGAUGAAUAGAAUAUGUACAUAUAAAUAUAUGGAUGAGCGAAGGCUGUGCGGAAUAGGCAAGAUGCAGUAGACGGUAUAGAAUACAGUAUAUACAUAUGAGAUUAAUAAUGUUUACAUAUCCUACAUUAUUAAAGUGCCGUUAUUUAAAGUGACUAGUGAUACCUUUAUUAAGUCAAUUUUUUAAGUGGCCAGAGAUUUGAGUUUGUAUGUUGGCAGCAGCCUAUCCAUGUUAGUGAUGGCUGUUUAACAGUCUGAUGGCCUUGAGAUAGAAGCUGUUUUUCAGUCUCUCGGUCCCAGCUUUGAUGCACCUGUACUGACCUCGCCUUCUGGAUGAUAGUGGGGUGAACAGGCAGUGGCUCAGGUGGUUGUUCUAGAUGAUCUUUUUGGCCUUCCUGUGACAUCGGGUGCUGUAGGUGUCCUGGAGGGCAGAUAGUUUGCCCCCGGUGAUGUGUUGUGCAAACCGCACUACCCUCUGGAGAGACUUGCGGUUGAGGGCAGUGCAAUUGCCAUACCAGGCAGUGAUACAGCCCGACAGGAUGCUCUCGAUUGUGCAUCUGUAAAAGUUUGUGAGUGUUUCAGAUGACAAGCCAAAUUUCUUCAGCCUCCUGAGGUUGAAGAGGUGCUGUUGCGCCUUCUUCACCACGCUGUCUGUGUGGGUGGACCAUUUCAGUUUGUCUGUGAUGUGUACGCAGAGGAACUUAAAACUUUCCACCUUCUCCACUACUGCCCCGUCAAUGUGGAUGGGGGGGGUGCUCCCUCUGCUGUUUCCUGUAGUCCACGAUCAUCUCCUUUGUUUGUUUUUUUUACGUUGAGUGAGAGGUUAUUUUCCUGAUACCACACUCCGAGGGCCCUCACCUCCUCCCUGUAGGCCGUUUCGUCGUUGUUGCUAAUCAUGCCUAGCACUGUAGUGUCAUCUGCAAACUUGAUGAUUGAGUUGGAGGCAUGCAUGGCCACGCAGUCAUGGGUGAACAGGGAGUACAGAAAAUGGCUGAGAACUCACCCAUGUGGGGUCCCAGUGUUGAGGAUCAGCGGGCUGGAGAUGUUGUUUCCUACCUUCAUCACCUGGGGUGCAGCCCGUCAGAAAGUCCAGGACCCAGUUGCACAGGGCGGGGUCUUGAGCUUAAUUACGUGUUUGGAGGGUACUAUGGUGUUAAAUGCUGAGCUGUAGUCAAUGAACAGCAUUCUUACAUAGAUAGGGCAGUGUGCAGUGUGAUGGUGAUUGCAUCGUCAGUGGACCUAUUGGGGUGGUAAGCAAAUUGGAGUGGGUCUAGGGUGGCCGGUAAGGUGGAGGUGAUAUGAUCCUUGACUAGUCUCUCAAAGCACUUCAUGAUGACAGAAGUGAGUGCAAUGGGGCAAUAGUCAUUCAGUUCAGUUACCUUAGCUUUCUUGGGAACAGGAAUAAUGGUGCCAUCUUGAAGCAUGUGGGGACAACGGACUGGGAUAGGGAUUGGUUGAAUAUGUCCGUAAACACACCAGCCAGCUGGUCUGCGCAUGCUCUGAGAACGCGGCUAGGGAUGCCAUCUGGACCGGCAGCCUUGCGAGGGUUAACACGUUUAAAUGUUUUACUCACGUUGGCCAUGGAGAAGGAGAGCCCACAGGCUUUGGUAGCGGCCGUGUCAGUGGCACUGUAUUGUCCUCAAAGCGAGCAAAAAAGUUAUUUAAUUUGUCUGGGAGAAAGACGUCGAUGUCCGCGACGGGGCUGGUUUUCUUUUUGUAAUCCGUGAUUGACUGUAAACCCUGCCACAUACGUCUCAUGUUUGAGCCGUUGAAUUGCGACUCUACUUUGUCUCUAUACUGACGCUUUGCUUGUUUGAUUGCCUUGCGGAGGGAAUAGCUGCACUGUUUGUAUUCUAUCAUGUUUCCGGUCACCUUGCCAUGAUUAAAAGCGGUUGUUCGCACUUUCAGUUUUGCGCGAAUGCUGCCAUUAAUCCACGGUUUCUGGUUUGGGAAGGUUUUAAUAGUCACAGUGGGUACGACAUCUCCGAUGCACUUGCUAAUAAACUCGCUCACCGAGUCAGCGUAUACAUCAAUGUUGUUGUCUGAGGCUAUCUGAAACAUAUCCCAGUCCACGUGAUCGAAGCAAUCUCGGAGCGUGGAAUCCGAUUGGUCAGACCAGCGUCGUAUUGACCUGAGCACGGGCGUUUCCUGUUUUAGUUUUUGUCUAUAGGCUGGGAGCAACAUAAUGGAUUCAUGGUCAGAUUUGCUGAAGGUAGGGCAUGGGAGGGCUUGUAUGCAUUGCGGAAGUUCGAGUAGCAAUGAUCCAGAAUUCUGCCUGCUCGUGUCGCGCAUUCGAUAUGCAGAUAGAAUUUAGGGAGUAUUGAUCUUAGGUUAGCUUUGUUAAAAUCCCCAGCUACAAUAAAUGCAGCCUCAGGAUGUAUGGUUUCCAGUUUACAUAGAGUCCAGUGAAGUUCUUUCAGGGCAGACAAGGGAUCUGCUUGGGGGGAUAUACACGACUGUGACUAUAAUCGAAGAGAAUUCUCUUGGAAGAUAAUGCGGUCAGCAUUUGAUUGUAAGGAAUUCUAGGUCAGGUGAACAAAAUGACUUGAGUUCCUGAAUGUUGUUGUGAUGACACCAUGAGUCGUUAAUCAUAAGGCAUACACUUCCGUCCUUCUUCUUACCAGAGAGAUGUUUGUUUCUGUCGGCGCAAUGGGUGAAGAAACCGGGUGGCUGUACCGACUCUGACAACGUAUCCCGAGUGAGCCAUGUUUCCGUGAAACAGAGAAUGUUACAAUCUCUGGUGUCUCUCUGGAAGGAAACUCGUGCCGUAAUUUCAUCCACUUUGUUAUCUAAUGAUUGGACAUUGGCGAGUAAUAUGCUAGGAAGCGAUGGAUGGUGUGCUCGUCUUCUGAGUCUGACCAGUAGGCUGCUCCGUCUGCCUCUCCUGUGGCGACCACGUUGUUUUGGGUCGGCCUCUGGGAUAAGAUCGCAUGUCCAGGGUGGAGGUCCGAACAAAGGAUUCGCUUCGGGAAAGACGUAUUCCUGGUCGUAAUGAUGGAGGCCCAUGUGUUCCUCAGUACAGGUUCUACAGAGGAGAGGGUCCUGGCAGUUGUCAGUGAAGCCAGCCAGCAGACUGACACAUCCAGAAGACCAUCUAGAGAUGAAGAGAUAGAGGAGACUGAGCGAUAGAGGAGGAGAGGAGAGAGGAGGAAUGCAGAAUGGCAGCAGAGGAGAGGAAGCACAGGGAGAGAGAGAGGAUACAGCAAGAGAGGAGGGAUGUGGAAGAGAGGGAAAGGAGGAUGAAAGAGAAAAAGGAAAGGAUACAGGAGCAGGUACAGGAAAUUACAAACCCAGAUUGAAGCAGAGACUCACAAACAAGAAAGACUAAGAUGGGAGGCAGCAGCGCUCAUGUCUCAACACUACAAACCCUAGGGAGUUUUUCAAGCACUCUUCCGAUUCCUCAAGAUCUCUUCCUCUUGCACAGUGAGGCCUACAUUCAGACGAUACCAACGGACCCUAACAGACAACUCUUUCAUAUUCAGGAAGUCAGAACCCUCCACUCCCACCUUCCCCCAUAGCCCAACAAUGGUCUGUUCUUUCAGCCAGAAACCCAGUCACCCCCGUAGUCCAACAAUGGUCUCUCCCAGCUCUUCUUCCAAAUCCUCUAAUUCCAUCCAUCCGCAACAACCAUCUUGUGUGGAGCCUAAAAUUCCCCUCUCCAUGUCCUCUCAGGCCCUUGCCUGCACAGCCUGAGACCCCCUGGAGCUGAGAAAACUGGAAACGGAGCUUACAGAGGUCGAGGAAGAGGAGGAGAGGCAAGGAAUUAAAGUGGUAGUUGAGAAGAAAGAAAAAGAGGAGACAUGCCGCCAUCACUGCAGAGGGGGGGAGGCGAAUGAGGUACUACAGGAGAGGGGAGGGAUGUGUGUGGUGGAAGAGGAGAGAGAUGGAUGAGGGGAUGGAAGGAGUAGAAGAGGAGGAGGAGGAAGUGAUUGAAAAGGAAGAGAAGGAUAGUAAGACUACUGAAGGAGAGGCGAGAAUCAGAGGAUAUAGAUGGAGAGGAAGAAGCAGACACAGUAGCAUCAGAAAUCGAGUUAGACACAUCCCUGGAUGUAAUAAUGAGUGAUGAAUAAUACACAGCCCUCAAACUCCCUCAGAACAAACAGUCCUCUCCAACUCCCGCUCCGACGAAUCCAACCUAGCUCCCGAAGUGUCUGGAACCUUCGUUAAUCCAGCCAAGCAGCAAGGGAAUUGAGACAACUAUCUCUCUAAAAUAUUAAACAAUACAUAUUAUAUGUUUAGUUGAGUAAAGUAGAGUGCAGUUCAACCCAAUUCAGGGGAAAAAACGAUUCUUCGUACAUAAAAUGUUAUCCCGCUUCACAAGAGCAUCUCUCUCCCUUUUGUUUCUCUCCUCGGCAACAAUGGAAAACCUGCAAAACCAUCUGCACACCACCCAUAGUCCAUCUUGAUUGGCCCAAAUGAUCACACACCCUUCAGGUGAACAAAAACUGUCCCAACAUAUUUCAAGUAACAGUACAUAAUAAUUUAACCAACAUAGGCCAACAGCGAAGGCUGUAGUAAAACGUAAUUUAUAAAAAAUAAAACCAAUCUGAUUAAAUGUUUACAAAAUAUACAUUCACACACAUAAUACUACCCAAUCCACUUGUAUAUAGAAGUGAUAUAUCUCACUAUAGGAACAGACACCACACUAGGAACUCCAGGUGUGUCAUAGGUCAGCAGUGUAGGAGCUUUCUUAGUUCUUAGAGAUCAUCUUAUCUCUGCUUCUGCUUCCUUCAUUUCUUCUGAGUUGUCUUCAACUGAAUCAGAUUUCUUAUUUCUUAACCUCAUUUGUUUCAUCCUCAUUUGUUCUAUAUGUUUCCUCAGCUUCAGUUGCUUCUGUUGCUUCUUCAGUUUUAUUUGUUUCUUCAGUGGACUCAGUUUAUUUUUCUUCUCCUGUUCUCGCUUUAGGUUCUCCAGUCAUUACCUUCCAUGUAAUGUCCAAGUCCAAACUUAUUUUUAACCUUUAUUUAACUAGGCAAGUCAGUUAAGAACAAAUUCUUAUUUACAAUGACGGCCUAAGAACAGUGCCUUGUUCAGGGGCAGAACAACAGUGCAGUUCAACCCAAUUCGGGGAAAAACGAUUUUUAGUACAUAAAAUGUUUUCCCGCUUCACAAAAGCAUCUCUCUCCCUUUCUUUCUUUCUUUCCUCAGUAGUGAUGGGUCGUUCGCGAACGAGUUGGCUCUAAGAGCCGGCUCUUGUAGGUGAACGUUGGGAGCUUGUUCGCAUAUCAGAAGAGCCGAAUCUAUUUAUUAAAAAAUAAACAAAUUAAGAUAUGAAUAAUCAAAAGAUUUAAAUGAAUAGAAUUAACUAAUUCAAAGAAAGAAAAAAAUUAUACAAUAAUAUAGGCCUAAAUGCUCAAGCGCACACACAUUCGUUCUGACUGUCUGCUCAGACUAACAGCCUCACCUGGUUGUUCCUGUCAAUCAGACACGCAGUAUCAACCAAAGAUGUGUGAGGAAGGGCUGAGGGAGGGGCUGAGCCAACUCACUCACAGUCACACAGAGGAAGGACAACUGUGAAAACAACAGUUGGAAAAUGAGUCGGAGGCACAGUAGCAUUUGGAUGCAUUUUAAUAAUGUAGACAAUGUUAGAGCACAGUGUAGAAUUUGCCAAAACAAAAUCUCAUAUGAAGCCGGUUCUAUGCACAACCUACACCGGCAUAUGCGAACUAUGCACCCAACUGUGAAGCUUGCUGUAGCAGAACUUCGAGAAACUAGCAGGCCUGCUAGUGAUAGUGGUGGAGCCAGCACCUCCACACGUGGUCAGUCAAGUAGGCCUACUCUGCGACCCACAGCAACGCAGUCUUCUAUGGAGCAGUUUAUGCCAAAGUCUAUGUCUGUAUCAAAACAAGGCCAAAUUGAUAUUGCAUUGGCUAAAAUGUUUGCCACUGAUUUCCAGCCAUUUUCGAUCAUGGAGGACAGAGGUUUUAGAAAUUAUAGCAAUAGUCUAAAUCCAAUGUACACAAUUCUAAGCAGAAAAACCCUUUCAAAAUCACGUAUUCCACAACUGUACGAGAGCACACAGGCAUCAGUGCGGGAAAGAGUCCAAAAAGCUACAGCAGUUUGCCUUACCACUGACUGCUGGACAUCAAGGGUAACCACGUCUUACAUGUUGGUUACAUGUCAUUUCAUUGAAGAUUUUUCGGUGUCUACACCAGAUGGGGAUGCCUGAGCUGAGGCCUAAACAAGACUGCACUACAAAGUGGAAUUCAACAUUUUACCAGGGAAACAGGAAGAAGAGGGAUCAGAUGGAGCAGAAGCACCAGCAGUAGUGCCACAAACGUCUGCUGUUUGGAUUCUGUUUGACAAGAGAGCAACUGGGGAUGCAGCACGAAUGAUUCCCUCAGCAGAUGCCAUAAUGGAGGUCCGAUCCAAUUUGGAGGAGCCCUGAGCUGGUGGAAGAACAAGGCCUCUGUCUACCCACGGCUUACUAAAGUCAUGAUAGGGAGACUCUGUUUAGUGGCCACAUCCGUUCUCCCUAAGAGGGUCUUUUCGAAAAUAGGACAAAUAAUUACUGAGAGAAGAAACCGCAUCAGCCUCUCGAAAGUGAGGCAGCUUUCAUUUCUGAAUGCAAAUCUCUCAUAAAAGAAAAAUAUGGUCAGCAUUACUGUGUGCUGCUGGUUAUAACAUGGCAAUAAAUAAGAGAGAGAAAAGAGAGACCAGUUUAAUGUUUUAAGUGGGAUGCUGCAGUUUUGCACAUUGUUAUUUAUUUGUCUUUGAUAUGGUGCAAUAUUCUAUUAUGCUGUUCAGAUUGUAUUCGUUUUGAAUGGUUAGAUGUAUAUGCACUUUGUUUAUAAACAUUAAAAAGUUAUACUUUAAAU